GACGAACGCUGGCGGCGUGGAUUAGGCAUGCAAGUCGAACGGUAGGAUACCUUCGGGUAUCUGAGAGUGGCGAACGGGUGAGUAACACGUAGGUGAUCUACCCUCAAGAUUGGGACAACCCAGGGAAACUUGGGCUAAUACCGGAUGAAAGCAGCAGUGAUGUUGUUUGAAAGGUGGCGUAAGCUGCCGUUUGGGGAUGAGCCUGCGCUCUAUUAGUUAGUUGGCGGGGUAAAGGCCCACCAAGGCGAUGAUAGAUAGGCGGCCUUAACGGGUGGUCGCCCACACUGGGAUUGAGAUACGGCCCAGACUCCUACGGGAGGCAGCAGUCGAGAAUAGUCUACAAUGGCCGAAAGGCUGAUAGUGCGACGCCGCGUGAACGAAGAAGCCCGUUCGGGGUGUAAAGUUCUUUUAUAUGUGAGCAGUGCUUUCUAUGUGAACAGCAUGGGGAGAGAGAUAUUAGCAUACGAAUAAGCAACGGCUAACUCCGUG
rnacentral:rRNA from 1 species